UGCAGUCGAACGAUGAUCCCAGCUUGCUGGGGGAUUAGUGGCGAACGGGUGAGUAACACGUGAGUAACCUGCCCUUGACUCUGGGAUAAGCCUGGGAAACUGGGUCUAAUACCGGAUACGACCAUUCCACGCAUGUGGUGGUGGUGGAAAGCUUUUGUGGUUUUGGAUGGACUCGCGGCCUAUCAGCUUGUUGGUGGGGUAAUGGCCUACCAAGGCGACGACGGGUAGCCGGCCUGAGAGGGUGACCGGCCACACUGGGACUGAGACACGGCCCAGACUCCUACGGGAGGCAGCAGUGGGGAAUAUUGCACAAUGGGCGCAAGCCUGAUGCAGCGACGCCGCGUGAGGGAUGACGGCCUUCGGGUUGUAAACCUCUUUCAGUAGGGAAGAAGCGAAAGUGACGGUACCUGCAGAAGAAGCGCCGGCUAACUACGUGCCAGCAGCCGCGGUAAUACGUAGGGCGCAAGCGUUAUCCGGAAUUAUUGGGCGUAAAGAGCUCGUAGGCGGUUUGUCGCGUCUGCUGUGAAAGACCGGGGCUCAACUCCGGUUCUGCAGUGGGUACGGGCAGACUAGAGUGCAGUAGGGGAGACUGGAAUUCCUGGUGUAGCGGUGAAAUGCGCAGAUAUCAGGAGGAACACCGAUGGCGAAGGCAGGUCUCUGGGCUGUAACUGACGCUGAGGAGCGAAAGCAUGGGGAGCGAACAGGAUUAGAUACCCUGGUAGUCCAUGCCGUAAACGUUGGGCACUAGGUGUGGGGGACAUUCCACGUUUUCCGCGCCGUAGCUAACGCAUUAAGUGCCCCGCCUGGGGAGUACGGCCGCAAGGCUAAAACUCAAAGGAAUUGACGGGGGCCCGCACAAGCGGCGGAGCAUGCGGAUUAAUUCGAUGCAACGCGAAGAACCUUACCAAGGCUUGACAUGAACCGGUAAUACCUGGAAACAGGUGCCCCGC
rnacentral:rRNA from 1 species